rnacentral:rRNA from 1 species
AUUGAACGCUGGCGGAAUGCUUUACACAUGCAAGUCGAGCGGCAGCGCGGGGGCAACCCUGGCGGCGAGCGGCGAACGGGUGAGUAAUAUAUCGGAACGUGUCCUGUAGUGGGGGAUAGCUCGGGGAAACUCGAAUUAAUACCGCAUACGAUCUACGGAUGAAAGCGGGGGAUCGCAAGACCUCGCGCUAUUGGAGCGGCCGAUAUCCGAUUAGCUAGUUGGUGAGGUAAAAGCUUACCAAGGCGACGAUCGGUAGCUGGUCUGAGAGGAUGAUCAGCCACACUGGGACUGAGACACGGCCCAGACUCCUACGGGAGGCAGCAGUGGGGAAUUUUGGACAAUGGGGGAAACCCUGAUCCAGCCAUUCCGCGUGAGUGAAGAAGGCCU